UACGUAGGGUGCAAGCGUUUGUCCGGAAUUAUUGGGCGUAAAGAGCUCGUAGGCGGUUUGUUGCGUCGGCUGUGAAAUCCCGAGGCUCAACCUCGGGUCUGCAGUCGAUACGAGCAAACUAGAGUGUUGCAGGGGAGACUGGAAUUCCUGGUGUAGCGGUGAAAUGCGCAGAUAUCAGGAGGAACACCGGUGGCGAAGGCGGGUCUCUGGGCAACAACUGACGCUGGAGGAGCGAAAGCCGUGGGGAGCGAACAGG
rnacentral:rRNA from 1 species